UGGGGAAUAUUGUGCAAUGGCCGAAAGGCUGACGCAGCGACGCCGCGUGGGGGAUGAAGCAUUUCGGUGUGUAAACCCCUGUUGCCCGGGACGAACAAGCAGAUUUUUCUGCUCUGACGGUACCGGGUGAGGAAGCACCGGCUAACUCCGUGCCAGCAGCCGCGGUAAUACGGAGGGUGCGAGCGUUGUCCGGAAUCACUGGGCGUAAAGGGCGCGUAGGCGGUCUGCUAAGCGUGCGGUGAAAGCCCGGGGCUCAACCCCGGGUCUACCGUGCGAACUGGUGGACUAGAGCACUGUAGAGGCAGGUGGAAUUCCGGGUGUAGCGGUGGAAUGCGUAGAGAUCCGGAAGAACACCGGUGGCGAAGGCGGCCUGCUGGGCAGUAGCUGACGCUGAGGCGCGACAGCGUGGGGAGCAAACA
rnacentral:rRNA from 1 species